rnacentral:rRNA from 1 species
AAAUUGAAGAGUUUGAUCAUGGCUCAGAUUGAACGCUGGCGGCAGGCCUAACACAUGCAAGUCGAACGGUAACAGGAAGCAGCUUGCUGCUUCGCUGACGAGUGGCGGACGGGUGAGUAAUGUCUGGGAAACUGCCUGAUGGAGGGGGAUAACUACUGGAAACGGUAGCUAAUACCGCAUAACGUCGCAAGACCAAAGAGGGGGACCUUCGGGCCUCUUGCCAUCAGAUGUGCCCAGAUGGGAUUAGCUAGUAGGUGGGGUAACGGCUCACCUAGGCGACGAUCCCUAGCUGGUCUGAGAGGAUGACCAGCCACACUGGAACUGAGACACGGUCCAGACUCCUACGGGAGGCAGCAGUGGGGAAUAUUGCACAAUGGGCGCAAGCCUGAUGCAGCCAUGCCGCGUGUAUGAAGAAGGCCUUCGGGUUGUAAAGUACUUUCAGCGGGGAGGAAGGCGAUG